GUUGAGUGAUACUCAUCGUCACUUUAUAAUAUGCAUUUCAAAAUAUUUAUUAGGAAAAGCAACUCCCAAUAAGUAUGCAACCAAAUAUACUUCAGCGUGUAGUAGGUAUUGCCUAGAGUUUAAUAAGUAUUUGGACAAAGUUGGUGACUUUUAGGGGAAUUCGUAAUCUAGAAGUUGGUCCGUGUGUCGAUACGGCUUCCGGCUGACGUGUUUGUCAUUGCUUCGGGGAGAGCAGGCCAGCACUUAAUUUUCAACUCUUGUACAGAAGACAUCUGAUCUCCCGAUCUCCGGUGGCCAUUGCCAGAAUUUACCUUUUAGUUGAAAAAGUUAUAAGAUUAAUUUACGUUGGAGGAAGUUUUUAUUUUGUUUUGGGUUUUGUGAAGAGUUUGAGGAGAAGAGUUUUUGUUUCCAAUACUUUUUUGAAGAGCAAUGGCCACUGGAGAAAAAGGAAAUUAAGUCACCAUUUUUGUUUUUGUUGGAUAUGGAAUAAGCAAUCAGUUUGGGGUUUCUUUUGGUGUGGAUUGGGAUUUUAUGUUUUUUUGGAAUCAACAUUGAUUUUUACCGGUACUAGUAAGUACCUCCUCAUCGGACCAUCCGUAUUGUGGUUGAGUAUCUCCCCAGGAUUGGAAACCGGAGGAUACCUACCUGGCUCUCCCAUCAUCAACCUCUCAAGGAGUUUGGAGAAGCCUCCGUCCCUACUUUUGUAGAAGCGACAGGUUUUUAUUAUAAAAUAUACAUUUUCAAUUCUUUUAAAUAACUGCUUGCAAUAUUAAUAUUUUUCCCAAUAAAUUAGAAAUAACCUUAAUAAUCAUAUAAACUCAUUUUUUCUAAAAUCACCAUUUGUAAUAUUCAAUCAUUUUUUUCAACAAGUUUUAUCGUUCACUGUUCGUACCACUCAUUUAAAAUAGUCAGGGAAUUAUAAACUAUAUUAUGUUAAGGUGUUGUAUACAAUAUCUACGGUUUUAAUUCCUAUUUAAUAACCUUUAUUUCAGUUAACAGGUAUGGUACUCAGGGUUAUCACUUAGGUCAGAUACGAGAUUGUCAACCAAUACUGUAACCAAUAUCCAUAAUACAUUUUUGUUUAAGUAAAUAACUUGUGAUUCCCAAUAACUGUCUUGAUCUAACUAAUUAAGUUCUUUGUUUUAAUUUUUAUUGCGAUCUCAUUGUCGACAGGAGCGUACUUUUCUAGUACAACAGGUACUGAUUAGCUAGUUUGUAUAAAAUUGUAUAUAGGGGUUAUAGGUUUUUUUCAUUAAAUUUGUUGGUUGUACAUA
rnacentral:lncRNA from 1 species